rnacentral:rRNA from 1 species
AUAUUAAUAAGCGGAGGAAAAGAAACUAACAAGGAUUCCCAUAGUAGCGGCGAGCGAAGAGGGAAAAGCUCAAAUUUGAAAUCUGGCAAUUACAUUGUCCGAAUUGUAUUUGAAAGACAUGAAGUGAACCAGUAAAAGUAAAUUCAAGUCCUUUGGAAAAAGGCAACAAAGAGGGUGAAAUUCCCGUUUUGAUUUAUUUUAGCUGGUGUAACGCUAGUGUCGACGAGUCGGAUUGUUUGGGAAUGCAGUCCAAAAUGGGUGGUACACGCCAUCUAAAGCUAAAUACAAGUAAGAGACCGAUAGCGCACAAGUA